GGUCUGAGAGGAUGAUCAGCCACACUGGAACUGAGACACGGUCCAGACUCCUACGGGAGGCAGCAGUGGGGAAUAUUGGACAAUGGGGGAAACCCUGAUGCAGCCAUGCCGCGUGUGUGAAGAAGGCCUUCGGGUUGUAAAGCACUUUCAGCGAGGAGGAAAGGUUGAUGCCUAAUACCUAUCAACUGUGACGUUACUCGCAGAAGAAGCACCGGCUAACUCCGUGCCAGCAGCCGCCGUAAUACGGAGGGUGCAAGCGUUAAUCGGAAUUACUGGGCGUAAAGCGCACGCAGGCGGUUGGAUAAGUUAGAUGUGAAAGCCCCGGGCUCAACCUGGGAAUUGCAUUUAAAACUG
rnacentral:rRNA from 1 species